rnacentral:rRNA from 1 species
GGGUUGUGAGGUUAAGCGACUAAGCGUACACGGUGGAUGCCCUGGCAGUCAGAGGCGAUGAAGGGCGUGCUAAUCUGCGAUAAGCGCCGGUAAGGUGAUAUGAACCGUUAUAACCGGCGAUACCCGAAUGGGGAAACCCAGUGUGACUCGUCACACUAUCAUUAACUGAAUCCAUAGGUUAAUGAGGCGAACCGGGGGAACUGAAACAUCUAAGUACCCCGAGGAAAAGAAAUCAACCGAGAUUCCCCCAGUAGCGGCGAGCGAACGGGGAGGAGCCCAGAGCCUGAAUCAGCAUGUGUGUUAGUGGAAGCGUCUGGAAAGGCGCGCGAUACAGGGUGACAGCCCCGUACACAAAAGCGCA